GUCACCCGCUCCCCAUUCACAAUAACUUUACGGGAGCCGGGCAGCGCACCUCCCCGGCCGCUGGGGCGCCGUACGCCUGGCGACUAGCACGGAUGAAAACAUGGAGGCGUGCUGUGUUCCAGUUUCACUUCAUCACCCUCUGGAUUUACAGCUCUGCCCAGUUCUGUCGUCAUUGCAGGCAAGAUCCUCUUGUAUGAUAGGAACCAGUAACAGUCACCAGACCAGAAUUUGAACACACACAUCCUUAAGGUGCAUCCCAAAGGUUGCCCCCUGACCCAGGAAGCCUUGGAACAUGACUCUCCUCUCCCCAGCCCAGGACCCCUACUCAGAGAUUGGCCAGUUCCUCCAUCAUUCUCUCCUCUUGUGUCAGCUUUGCCCUGAGAUCACCUUCUUGCCAUCCAUUUCCCUCACACCCUGAGCCCUGUGAACUUGAACUGCAAUAAGCUUGAGCCACAGAUGAAGAGUCUAAAUGUCCUGACCAACAAAAUCUCAUAAAUUGUGGGCUCAGCUCCUUGGGAAGUGGUAUGCAUGACUUCCUUCACCAUAUUUAAGAUCUGAUGGAAUUAAUCGCUGAGGAACAUAUUGAAGGAGACAGAAACAGAGUGGAACAGAGACCCAAGGAGCUGUUUGCUUCCCCAGGUUCCAGGAUUUUUGCAACAAAUCAUGUAACCUUGUGCAACAAGUACAAAAAAGGAAAAGAAAAGACGGAGAAGAACAUUUCCCUUUGUGUCCUAUUGUGGGGCUACUUCAUUUGUAGAGAUGUAAUUGUAGCCUGAAGCGUGCACUUGGGAAUCUGUGUUUCUGGGAAGAUUGGAGCUCCUCCCAUAAAGAGCUGGAGGAGACUGUGACGAGAAACAAUCUUUCCAACUAGCGACUGCGACUGAAUGAAUUGAAGGAGAUGCCUUUUUGCUUUAAUUUUUCGCCACCCCCAACUCUGCAUUUAAGAAAAAAAAAAAAACGCUUUUUUUUCUUUGAGACUAUACCAGACUAGUUAAUAGAACAGGAUAAUUCUGGAUACAAGGCUCUGCAAAAUAAGAGAGUAUAAUGAGAGGCAUUUGAAUGGAUGUCAUUGUCUUUCACAAAGCAUGCUUUUGUCUCAUUGUUUUCACCUAAGACUUCUUGCAAAACAACGGGCUUUGAAAGUGCAAGGUAGGCUGCUUCACUCUUGAAGAGCUGACAGACAUCCCACCUUUUCCAGGAGGAUUGUGACUGGAGCUUCAAUCAUUUUUCUCCCCCGUUUCUGUGCAGUAGGUGUGACAAUUAGAGAGAACUGUGAGCUGACUAUCCUAUACCCAGUUCCAAUCCUGUCAGAAGGAACUAAAAAUACCCUGUGGUCAAACUACAGUGAGUCCUGCUUCUAACGAGCUUGGGCUGAGGGGAGCCAGGGGGCGGUCGUGUCACCCACAGAAACAACUGCCAGAUGACACAAAACCAUCGCAUGAAAUUUCCUUCAUCUGAAAGCCUGCGACCUUUUUUAUGAUGCUGCACUUUGGUGAAACAAACAAACAAAAAAGUCCAUUUCUAAAUAUAGCCAGCUUUUGUAGGCUGUAGUUAGUCACGUUCCCACUUUGUAAAAAAUAUCAGAACGCAUUUUGGCAGAAAUUUUCAUCAUGAUACGUUUUUUUUUUUCCUUUCAGUUCCCCAUAUUUAAAACUCUGGUGACACAAACAUUAAGGUUUAUAACCAGAAAACCUCUUGUGUGUGGGGAAUUCUUCUGGAGUCAUGUGGUUCUUUACUUGACAAAAAUUUAUUGAGGACCUGAAUCAGGCGUUGUUCCAAGCCUCUGCUUUGAAUCAUUUUUCACUAUAGUCUUUUGUUCUUGGAGCUCUCUAGGAAAUCCCCACAUAGUUGGAAAAAAGGUGACUGCUCUCUCACCUGUAUAUGUGCCAUAGCAGAGAGCAUUGGAAACAAAACGGAGAUCAUCAAACACCUGCCUUGUGGGGCUCUGGUGGAUUUCAAAUGCAUUAAUACCCAUACAACAUCUAAUCGGAGUCUGUCAAGAGGAAAGUGUCAUCAUGGACAGCAUUUGGGAAAUAAACCUAGAGGACAAUUUGCAAUUCCAGGAUGGUUUCCUUGAGUGAAAUCAAGAUCCUUGGGCUGCACUAUCUUAUCUCCAAAUUGACCCUGAGACCUAAGGAUUUCCAUCGAGAGGCACAAAAGAGAAGCAACAAUUGCACUUGAUCAAACCAGAUUUGAUAAAAGUAAGAAGCGUGUAUCCAGACGACUACCUAGGAAUCCCUUCACAUAUGCUGGCUGUGUGGCUGAGCUACCUGCCUGAUCAUCUGGACUCCUUCGGUCUUCCUUUGCUUGUCAGGAUCAAAGAGGAUCAGUGUCAAGCCUCCCUGGCCUUCGGGAUGAGCCCAUCUAGGUGAACUUCUGCUGAGACAGGCCUGCAGGAUCUUCAUGCUGGUCCCAGGUUGCUGUGUGAGGGCGGCACCAACCCAGACCCUCCAUCUUGGCAUCUUGCUCUUACUCACCAAAGAAUUCUGCAAUAGAACACGGGGCCCUAUCUGCGUGCCCCCUCUUCUGUGGCAGAGGUAAAUAUUCCAUUGCUGCCGAAGUUUCUAUUCAAGAUGGCUUGAAGAUGCCCACCAACCAGUUUGUCUACCUGUGCACAUGCCAAGAUCAUGAGGGCUCUUACCCCUGGCUGGGCUACAUGGAGGCAGAGGUACCAAGAGAGCCAGGACUCUUUUUCCAGGAGUGGUCCAAUUCCAGAUACUAGAUCUCCUUUAGAUGCCAGCUUCUGACCUGCUUCCUCCUGGCCUAGGCCUUCCUUUAUUCAUGGCUGACAUUACUUGCUUUGGAAGCAAACAUCAAAAGAACUGGGGCGUCCGGGCGGCUCAGUCAGUUGAACGUCUGACUCUUGGUUUCAGCUCAGGUCAUGAUUGCACGGUUCCUGGGAUCGAUCCCCGCAUUGAGCU